UGUGAUGGGGAGCGAAAUUUAGUAGCGAAGUAGCUGAUUUCACACUGUCAAGAAAAGUCUCUAUCGAGGUUAAAGGUACCCGUACCGCAAACCGACACAGGUGGGUGAGGAGAGUAUCCUAAGGCCAGCGAGAGAACUGUUGUUAAGGAACUCGGCAAAAUGACCCCGUAACUUAGGGAUAAGGGGUGCCACCAUCAGGUGGCCGCAGAGAAUAGGCCCAAGCGACUGUUUACCAAAAACAUAGGUUUCUGCUAAGUCGCAAGACGAUGUAUAGGAGCUGACGCC
rnacentral:rRNA from 1 species